rfam:Gossypium hirsutum cultivar TM-1 chromosome 11, whole genome shotgun sequence
UGUUAAAAAUUUCAUUCAUUUCUACUAUUAAAAACUAGCACGGCUAACAGAACAACCAAACUAUGGCGUGUAAUGUGUACCUCAUGCUAAUAUAUAGGAACCAAUUUUUAAUAAUAGAAAUGGAUAAAAUUUUUAACA